UAGCUGGUUAUCUCGUAUCGUUAACAGGUCAUGUAUUAAACAUUAUACAUGUCUUCAUCCGAUAAGGUCGCCGGAUCGAGCCCGGCACUGGUCAUUAUCUUUUUCUUUUUUUUUAUAUUGCAUGCAGGUGUAUGUAUAUAUGUAAAAAAACAUAGCUAACUAACCAAAAACCCAUGACAAAAUGGCUUUCUUUCCUCAUGGCCACUAGAUUGUGAACUAGAAAUAGGUCUCAGAUAAGUAGCCAAUUUGUCAAUUGACUACCUACUACUACGUACGUGGUUGGACGUACAUACUUGCCUUGUCCCUUCCCCCCCCCCUCCAGCCUGGACUCAAGGGCCACCCAGCGAGCGAGUGUAAUCGCCUAAAAUCAUCGAUAGCGUCACUCAAGUACCUUACUUAAUAUGAGCCCAGUCGCGAAAACUUGUUCGGUUCCCUCCAGAUUGUGAUAAAGUUUAAGGAAGCUAGUCCAUUUUUUAAGCGGACCAAGAACCGCAAUCAAAGCCUCCAGCUCCUCGAUAAGGUCUGCCACACCCUUUCAGCCUUGGUGUCUUUCCUAGAACCAGAGCAGAGACUCUAGAUGUUUAAUAAAACUUGCUCUGCUGGAUGAACGAACUAUCGAAGAUUGCUGCCUGGAAGAUUCAUGAGAUUCAACACAACUCUGCUACUACCUUUGGAUGCGCAAAAUCAAGUCCGAUCGGUUUUACAAUGGCUGAAAUCAUAGGAAUGACUUCCGGGUUGCUGAUAUGGGCAUCAUUUUUUUUAACAGUCUAGCAUCGCCCUAUAUGAGGCAGUCAAGAGCUUUAAUCUCAUCCAACGUGUGUGUGCCCUUGAAGAUAUUGACUGAAACGAGGCGAGGCUAUUCUAUUUUCUGCGCUGGCUAAU
rnacentral:lncRNA from 1 species